ensembl:snRNA U6 U6 spliceosomal RNA
UUGCUUUGGCAGCACAUAUACUAUUAUUGAACAAUACAGAGAUUAGCAUGGUCCCUGUGCAAGGAUGACACACAAAUUAAAUUGUUUCAAAAAGUAAAC